UACGAAGGGGGCUAGCGUUGCUCGGAUUGACUGGGCGUAAAGGGCGCGUAGGCGGCCAACUAAGUCAUACGUGAAAUCCCUCGGCUUAACCGGGGAACUGCGUCUGAUACUGGAUGGCUUGAGUUCGGGAGAGGGAUGCGGAAUUCCAGGUGUAGCGGUGAAAUGCGCAGAUAUCAGGAGGAACACCGGUGGCGAAGGCGGGUCUCUGGGCAUUACCUGACGCUGAGGAGCGAAAGUGUGGGGAGCGAACAGG
rnacentral:rRNA from 1 species